rnacentral:tRNA from 1 species
GCCUGAAUGGUUCAGUCGGUAGAGCACAGGGCCCUGUCGAUAACCUCGUCCAAACGGUUGUGGGUUCGAUUCCCACCUCUGCCA